UACGGGGGGAGCAAGCGUUGUUCGGAUUUACUGGGCGUAAAGGGCGCGUAGGCGGCCAGCACAAGUCAGUUGUGAAAUCUCCGAGCUUAACUCGGAAAGGUCAACUGAUACUGUGCGGCUAGAGUGCAGAAGGGGCAACUGGAAUUCUUGGUGUAGCGGUGAAAUGCGUAGAUAUCAAGAGGAACACCUGCGGCGAAGGCGGGUUGCUGGGCUGACACUGACGCUGAGGCGCGAAAGCCAGGGGGGCGAACGGG
rnacentral:rRNA from 1 species